GAUUUGCACUAACAGGUUAAACAACAGAAACAAAAAGAAGAUUCUAACAGGCGCUAAUAGAAGACGGAAGGCACGGCUUGCAAACAUACUGAGGCGCAAUGGCAGACCAGAACAGAUGUCGCAGCCCUACUAGCCAGCAGUGGAGCAACGGAAUCCAGACGGUUGGAAGUUACGGCGCUGUCUGGACGGGGCAGUCGACGGGCGGGUGACUUAGAAGACACAAUGGGAGACCCAGCACUAUCAAUGUUCUAUCCAGAUCGG